rnacentral:rRNA from 1 species
UUCCGGUUGAUCCUGCCGGACCCGACUGCUAUUUGGGUGAGGAUACGCCAUGCGAGUUGAAUGGGAAACCUAAAAAUCCCAUGGCAAACUGCUCAGUAACACAUGAUCAACUUACCCUAUAGAGGAAAAUAACCUCGGGAAACUGAGGAUAAUGUUCCAUAGUUGAAUCGGCUUGGAAAAGUUUUUCAAUAAAAGGGAUAAGGAAAAUGGUCCUUAUCUGCUAUAGGAUAGGAUCGUGCUCGAUUAUGGUUGUUGGUGAGGUAAAGGCUCACCAAGCCGAUAAUCGAUAGGGGCCGUGAGAGCGGGAGCCCCGAGAUGGGUACUGAGACAACGACCCAGGCCUUACGAGGCGCAGCAGGCGCGAAACCUCCGCAGUACACGAAAGUGUGACGGGGUUACCCAAAGUGUUCAUUAGAACUGUGGUAGGUGAGUAAUGUUCCCUACUAGAAAGGAGAGGGCAAGGCUGGUGCCAGCCGCCGCGGUAAAACCAGCUCUUCAAGUGGUCGGGAUAAUUAUUGGGCUUAAAGUGUCCGUAGCCGGUUUAGUAAGUUCCUGGUAAAAUCGGGUAGCUUAACUAUCUAUAUGCUAGGAAUACUACUAUACUAGAGGGCGGGAGAGGUCUGAGGUACUGCAGGGGUAGGGGUGAAAUCUUAUAAUCCUUGUUGGACCACCAGUGGCGAAGGCGUCAGACUGGAACGCGCCUGACGGUGAGGGACGAAAGCCAGGGGAGCGAACCGGAUUAGAUACCCGGGUAGUCCUGGCCGUAAACGAUGCAUACUAGGUGAUGGCACGGCCAUGAGCCGUGUCAGUGCCGUAGGGAAACCGUUAAGUGUGCCGCCUGGGAAGUACGGUCGCAAGGCUAAAACUUAAAGGAAUUGGCGGGGGAGCACCACAAGGGGUGAAGCCUGCGGUUCAAUUGGAUUCAACGCCGGG